UCUCUGUUAGUUUAGAACAGAAGAGCCCGUCGCUCCAUCUGUUUCACACUUGGUUUUUUCGCAUAGAUCUUCUGACAUUCAGGCGCGCCUUGCUGCUGGUUUAGACACAGUACCAUCGUGCCUCUGUGGGUCGCACGGCGUUUCUUUUUAUUACUUAAAAUCACAAACACCGUGGAAAAAGGCGAAAUAGAUUAAGCAAAGUAGUGAAACGGUUGGUGCGAUGCCUGUAGUUUUCUUAAUGUUGAUUUUCUUUAAAUGCUGGUUUCAGCAUUAGGAUAGAAGAGACGAGUGAAAGUGGAAGUUUUUCCCCUUUUUUCUUUUUAUGUGACCAAAGUCCAACAAAGUGGCUGCUGCUGUUGUCAUAAUCUAGAAGAGGAGGAUAACCCCCCCACACCUCAUAGGACGAACAGUCUUGGAACCACAGACGGUACAACAGGACUCUCCAUCAGACCGUACCAACCAACCACUAGACCACACAACAAGUCGGUAGGUUCCAUUCAUAUCCUUUAUCUGCCUCUCCACCUGUGUCUCAUGCAUUUCUAAUUGUAUAACUGUUUUGCAUUGUCUGUUUGUGUUGCACUUUUUCCUGCCUAAGUUUUCGUUGCUAUCUGUUUUGGUGUUCAUUUUUUGCUGAAGUCGUUCUUUCUGUUUCCUGCUUAAUCUCACAAGUAGAUUAUCAUCAAUUUGCCUUGAUUAGGCCAUUCUUCCUGCAGUUGAGGCGGGAAGAAGGACAAAAAGCUACUCUGCAAUUUGAACACGUGCAAGGAACAAGUGAUUGCGAUCAAUAAAAAAAUGAGCAGGAGAGAACAAGGGCAAAAAUAAAUGAACAAGUAAAUAAAUGAAUUGCCAAUUUCUGUUCUUGUCAAGUGUUUUUUGAAGGCAGCUCUUGAGGAAAAGCUGUUUCCGCUGAAGGACAGCAGUCUCUGUCUGAGCGUGUGUGUGGGUGUCUCUGCCUCUCCUUUCUGUAUAAGUCACUGCACACCCAGCCUCAAGGUGUUUUAGACUGAGUGAGUGUGUGAGUGAGUUAGUUAUGGGGAAAAGGAAGGGGGUUGAUUGAGGGUUGAGCUGUGUGCCUCUUACAUGGUAAAUGUGGGAUCGGAAACAGCAACAUUGGAUUCCAAUAAUUUGACCUGCACACAAAACGUUAACAUGAAAUUCUUGUCAAUUUAUUAACCCUGUAAGUCCCAACCCAUCAAUAAAUAGGCACACAAUUCAGAUUUUUUGGAACUGAGAUGUUUAUUAAUCCUUAUAACAAAAUCCACAAAAAUGUUUUUGCUAUAUCAUGUUCUGUAUGAUAUAUUUUUAUUAUAUAUUUAAUAUAUAUUUCUUGUAUUGCAUUUGAUACAUUGGGCGUUUUGGCAACUCUUUGUUAACAACAAUGUUCAUUUUAGACAAAACAAAGAGUUUUGUCCGUAACAUUUUGAAAUUAUGGCAAGUAUUGAUCAUGUUGAUGAGAUCGAGGUCUCAGAAACUCAAAUAUGAUACAAAAAACUGAAAACUCGCUUUACUGUAGACAGUGCAGGUGUUCCAGCAGCAAUGCAGAGUGCUGUCAAACACAUUGUGAUAAACACUAGUAAGAAAUUAACAGUCUGUGGUGAUGUCAAGUUAAAAGACAUUUUAGGUUCUUCAGCACUGUUUUUGAAAUGAUCUCAGAGAGAAUUUAACAAAGAAAACGUCAAAUAAACACUCUGUGUUGAGUUGAAUUUGCUGUAAUCAGUGUUGGGGUUAUGACUCAAAGAGGAUAAUCUAUUACAUAUAUUACAGAGAACAUUUUUCUCAAAAGUAAUGCAGUGUUGUUAUUUAAUGUUACUUAAUUACUACCACGAGAAAGUAAUUUGUUAUAGUACUCGUAACAUCACUUUCACAUUUCUCCAUAAGCAUUUAAUCAUAAUUACUCUUUAACAGUUUAAAGCUGUAGGCUACAGUCCCACACAACAACAACACAACAACACAAAUCCUGUCCAAACGAGGUCACACGUAAGAUCUUUCACCAGAACUUCUGCAGCCUGACUGCUCAUCAGUUUAUUACCUGUUAAAGUUCAGGGUCUGCCUGCUGGGCUGGGGUCAGCAUUCACUCACCUUUAAUAUCGCUCUGGGUUCUUUGCUAGCUUAGCGUUCACAUCCAAGCUGAAGACUGCGCCAUUAUUCUCCUCCUCCGCACACCAGCUACAAUCAGUUCAUUGUAGGGUAAUUGCAAAUCUAACCGAUAAGCAGGAUCGGCAAGCAGACUAACAGUUCCAAGAAAUGCGACUUUUAGUUUUACUACAUAAACCAGUUCUAGAUUCCCAUGCAGACUAAAGCUAAUGAGUCCCCACUGUCCUCUGUCCACCAUGCUUGAUUCACAGCCACAAAUGGAGCCACAGUAAGGCUAGCUUUAUUUUUGUACAUUAGCAUUGUGAUAUUGAGCAAAUAAACACAGACACUAGACAUCUCUCGUUCCUCUUUAGGCUGAGCAGCAAAAACAGAGUGUAAUGAUUUUAGCUAACUAGCAUCAUUAACUAGUUAAUAUGGCUAGUAGUAUUUGUGUUUGCAGUAUGCCCUACUUCGAUUUUUUAACAUGCAUGUUUGCAGACUUAGCCCUUAGCACUAUUACAGUAACAGAAAAUACAUAACACUAGCUGACAAAUACAGUAGCAUAAAUACAGUGAUCAGUGCUGCUGUGACAUCAGUGUUAGGUCUGAUUACUGUCAGACAUUUAGUGCACAUAUCUCCUCUCUCAGUUUGUCCCAGUGUUGUCAAUAAAAGGGCACUUCUGAGCCGUCACUGUGAACCACAGAACUGUCAUUUAAAGACAGUAUAU
ensembl:lncRNA